UCUCCGUAGGUGAACCUGCGGAGGGAUCAUUACAGAGUUCAUGCCCUACCGGGUAGAUCUCCCACCCUAUGUUAUUAUUACCUUGUUGCUUUGGCGGGCCGUUAGGCUCCGGCCCGACUACCGGCCCCGGCUGGUAAGCGCCCGCCAGAGGACCCAAAACCCUGAAUAUUAGUGUCGUCUGAGUACAAUAUAAUAGUUAAAACUUUCAACAACGGAUCUCUUGGUUCUG
rnacentral:misc_RNA from 1 species